UACAGAGGUCUCAAGCGUUGUUCGGAUUCAUUGGGCGUAAAGGGUGCGUAGGCGGGUUUUUAAGUCAGGGGUGAAAUCCUGGAGCUCAACUCCAGAACUGCCUUUGAUACUGAAGAUCUUGAGUCCGGGAGAGGUGAGUGGAACUGCGAGUGUAGAGGUGAAAUUCGUAGAUAUCGAGAGGAACACCGGUGGCGAAGGCGGCUAUCUGGACAGUGACUGACACUGAGGCACGAAGGCCAGGGGAGCAAACGGG
rnacentral:rRNA from 1 species